CAUAAUUAUAAUUAUAAUUAAAAUACAAACAAAAUAAUAAAAAUCUACUUCAUACCCAGUAUAUUCAUCUUAAAAUGUGAUCUGAUAACCAGGAAAUUCAUACAAAAGGGAGUUAAAGUUCUGAACCAGAAAGACAAUCUUGUUCCAAAAGGAUUGAAACAUUUACUGAGAAAAAAAAAGAAACUCUGAUUACUGAAAAGAAAAGAUGAAGAAGAAGAAGAGAGAAUGAAAGAUGAAUCACCACCAUCCAUAGAGAACUUGAGUGUAUGUGUGUUUGAUCCACCUGAAACUCUUUCUGAGAGAGCCUUUCAUUUUGCCUUCUGCUGCAUAUAUUUUAUAGCCAGCAACUCUCUUCUUCCUCUGCAACUCAGGAUCAUUGAAGCUCCAACUUUUUGAUGGUUUAGAAGCUGCCCUUUUCACUUUCUUCACCUUCAUCUCCUUAGCACUGCUACCUAUCUGCUUUCCAUGACCAGAACAACCAUUAUUCGCACUGUGACAUCUCAGAUCCUUCAUGCUUUUUGGGGCCACCUUGUCUCCACAGUUGCUUUCAUCUCUGCAUGACUUCGAUCUGAACUCCAUCAUCAUGCCAACCACAAUGCCCCUAUACUGAGCAUUUUCAUGAUGCCACUGGAUUCACUACCACGUGCA
rnacentral:sRNA from 1 species